AUUGAACGCUGGCGGCAUGCCUAACACAUGCAAGUCGAACGGCAGCGCGGGGGCAACCCUGGCGGCGAGUGGCGGACGGGUGAGUAAUGCAUAGGAAUCUGCCCGGUUGUGGGGGAUAACGUAGGGAAACUUACGCUAAUACCGCAUACGACCUUCGGGUGAAAGUGGGGGCCCUUCGGUCCUCACGCUAUCGUUUGAGCCUAUGCCCGAUUAGCUAGUUGGCGGGGUAAGAGCCCACCAAGGCGACGAUCGGUCGCUGGUCUGAGAGGAUGAUCAGCCACACUGGAACUGAGACACGGACCAGACUCCUACGGGAGGCAGCAGUGGGGAAUAUUGGACAAUGGGCGCAAGCAUGAUCCAGCAAUGCCGCGUGUGUGAAGAAGGCCUUCGGGUUGUAAAGCACUUUUGUUCGGGAAGAAAUACGUGUGGUUAAUACCCGUACGGGAUGACGGUACCGAAAGAAUAAGCACCGGCUAACUUCGUG
rnacentral:rRNA from 1 species